UACGGAGGGUGCAAGCGUUAUCCGGAUUUACUGGGUUUAAAGGGUGUGUAGGCGGAUCUUUAAGUCAGUGGUGAAAUCUCCGAGCUUAACUUGGAAACUGCCAUUGAUACUAUUGAUCUUGAAUUCUGUUGAGGUGGGCGGAAUAAGUCAUGUAGCGGUGAAAUGCAUAGAUAUGACUUAGAACACCAAUUGCGAAGGCAGCUCGCUAAGCAGAUAUUGACGCUGAGGCACGAAAGCGUGGGGAUCAAACAGGAUUAGAUACCCUGGUAGUCCACGCCCUAAACGAUGAUUACUCGACAUACGCGAUACACAGUGUGUGUCUGAGCGAAAGCAUUAAGUAAUCCACCUGGGAAGUACGACCGCAAGGUUGAA
rnacentral:rRNA from 1 species